rnacentral:piRNA from 1 species
CUGCAUCUCUAUUGGUUAGGCGCUGG